rnacentral:lncRNA from 1 species
GUCGGUUUUCAACUUAACUGAACCUUCAAACACCAACUCAUCUUCUUCCUCCCUUCCAUUUUACACCAUAACCACCAUUGUUGAAACCUUCCUACAACCUCCUUCCAUAACCCAAAACCAUGCAUAAUCACCAUGUAAUCAUAUCAACAUCCUACCACCGUGAAAACCUCUACCAAACAACACCCUCAUCAUUUACAACCAACUUAAACUUCCGUCUCUCUUCCAC